CAACCCUACCGACCCCAUCUCUCCCGCUCCGCCGAGGUCUUGCCGCGCCUUCCCGGCGGCGCCCCACCUUUCCGACCGACGGCAUGCCCACCGCCACCCUCCUCCGCCCGCAGUCCCGCACCAUGUGAGGUUUCGUCGAGGCAACGGUGGAUCCAGCUAUGGGGAGCCGCCGAGCGCCGCGCCAAGGGCCGAGUUGUGUGGAUUUUCGUGGCGGUGACCUCGUUCUGGCUCGAUUGUUUGAGAGCCACAAGCCCACCAAAAAUCCAAGAACCGCUGAUCUGGUGAGAUAGUCUCCUUCUCGCUUACCUAUAUUCUCCUUUAAAUAUGGAAUAUGGCUGCUGCUACUUUACUUAUCUGCUUAGAUGUAUGCAGCUACUAGUCACAUGUUAAAAAGGACGCAAAUUUGUACUACGUGAUGCGAUGGUUUGCUCUACUGAAUGGUAUCCACGUUAUAUUCUAAUGCUAGAGCUUUUCUCUUGCCAUCCACUGAUUUCCCAUCAUGUCUUACUAUGUGUGUGCCUUUUCUUUUUUCUUUGACACGGCUUAAGUCACUCAUGUAGCUUUAACAUAAGAAGCCUUCUCGUUGUCGAUGUUAAUUAGAUUACUUUUUGAAGGACCAAAUCCGCAGGUGUCACUUUGCAGAUGUUGUUUCCAGUUGUUCCACGAACACCCCCUCCCCUCCCUCAUGCCCGUUCAUCCACGCGCAAACGGCCAUUUGACAGUACAACACUGUAACAAUUAGCAUGGUUUACUUGCCUGGCAAUGUGUUAAAGAACCAGCCGGAUUGAGUAUUUGAGUGUGCUGCGGUAAAAAGUGCAUAGUUAUUUGUUCAAGGGUAAUGUCUCUAUCAAUACCAAGGAUUACCGCAUAUAUUUGGGGUGGGCAUAUUUCAAUCCUGUGCCAUCCAUGACGGCUUUGUUUGGUUUUGCUUCUGGUAGAAUCCAUAUAUUGUUAUGCUUGUUUUAGUGAAUAUAGUUCGAGUGUAGUGAAUCCUAUCUGUCUUACUAUAUUUCGUUUUGCUUUAUCGCUUUCGCAUUGGGAUUAAAUUGGUGCAAAGUCGGAAACCUUUGAACUAGCCCCAUGUAGCUUUGUUUAUUUUGCUUCCGUUUAGUCUAGUUGUUUGCUCAGUCGGAAACCUUUGAACUAGCCCCAUGUAGCUUUGUUUAUUUUGCUUCCGUUUAGUCUAGAUGUUUGCUCCUUUCCAUGUAAGUUUGCUUCAGUUCAUCUCUAUUUUUUUUCUAUAUAUUGUUCGUGCAGAUUAAUGCCAAUUGGGACUAGAUUCGAAUACUUUAUCCAUUUAGACUGUCCAGUGGUAGCUUUAUCCACACUAAGAUAAGAGAUUCUGUUUUCCAUUCUUUCAUUAUUCCUUUUGUACUGAUUUGCUUUCUGCCAUCUGCAUUUGGAGAUGAAACUUGCUGUAAUCCGUAUAAGGAGAUGAAGCCUACUGUAAUCUGAAUAUGGAGGAUAAAAAGAGACUGAACGAUGGCACAGACGGAUGACGGAUGUGCAAGGAAGUAUUCCCUUUCUUGCUUGAAGUUUUUAGGUAGACUAUUACAUAUUGUUUAGGGUCUCCCCUCUGCUUUGUGUCAAAUAAGACCAAAAAAUUUGAUGUGUCCUCCAGUAAUAUCGAAUUACGUAAGCAAAUUGUAAGGAUCCAAAUGGUUGACUUUGUAUAGAGUAGGUGGUAGAUGGUAUUUGUUAACAUUUACUAUUUUGUUCAUGCUGUCAUGUGAUGUUUGACAAGUGGUUACCCUCUGCAAAGAAUGCAGAUUUGACCUGGUGAAUAUUUUUGCAUAGCCACACUAAUGGAGGGAAAUCACAGGCCAAUGCAACACGUUUUAAUAUCUGGAAAUCGACAAGGUAUGUACCAUGUACUGAUGAAAUUACUUAUGUUAGUUCAUGGAGCUUUCUAAGUGAAAUAUAUCUUGAGGCUUAUCUGCCAGAUGGUUGGUUAACAGUUAAAAAGGUUCUUGAGUUAGUCCUGACAUUAUGGAAAGAUAUCUGGCUGAGGAACAAAUGGAAAGAUAUCUGACAUUAUGGAAAGAUACAGGUCCCUUUGGCCUUUGCUACAAACAUGUCUACCUUCUGCAAUUGUCAUAGCUGCCUACCUCACUUUUCUUUCAUAUCAAUGUCUACAAUUUUAUUUUCAGGAGAUGGGAAAAGCAUGCGAAGAUGAGUUCAGACUGGACCUCACACCAUUUGAUGCCCCAUAAGAGGCUCACUCAAAGAAUUCUCCCCUUGGUGGUUAUUCUCUUGAGGUCCACUUGGCCACCUACACCAUGUCUUCAUUUUGUUGACCAUGUCCUGUAGAUGGUAGCAAAGAAAGUUACACAAAUUGUACUGUUUAGUAAAAUACACUAUUGUUAAGAAUAUUCUAAUAGCUAAGAAUAUGAGUUUGAUUACAUUACCUGAAA